rnacentral:rRNA from 1 species
GACGAACGCUGGCGGCGUGCUUAACACAUGCAAGUCGAACGAAGUGGCGAACGGGUGAGUAACGCGUAAUCAACCUGCCCUUCAGAGGGGGACAACAGUUGGAAACGACUGCUAAUACCGCAUACUGAAGGAGGGGAUUGAGUCUGGUGAGCGAGUUGGAGGGGUAACGGACCACCAAGGCGAUGAUCAGUAGCCGGUCGUAGAGGAGGAACGGGCAUAUUGGGACUGAGACACGGCCCAGACUCCGACGGGAGGCAGCAGGGUGGAAGCUUCCGCAAUGGACGAAAGUAUGACGGAGCAACGCCGCGUGAGUGAUGACGGCCUUCGGGUUGUAAAGCUCUGUUAAUCGGGACGCGGUACCGGAAUAGAAAGCCACGGCUAACUACGUGCCAGCCGCCGCGGUAAUAC